UUCAUUAUAAUUUUGUAGGUAUAUAGAUGUGGAAUUUCCCUGUGCCAUACCUGAGGGAUGUGCAGUUUCAAAUCUGGGUAGAACCAGAACUUCAUCUACUGUUACGGAGAUCUGUACACCCUGAUGGAGGGCUUGUAGAACCAUUAAAAAGUCAACAUUUGCCAACUGGAAGAGUCAGCUGCCAUGGAUAACACCGCAGGGAAAAGGAGGAAUGCACUGCUUCCAGAAGAAAAAAACAACAACAACAACGACACAGGCUUUUUGGACACUUCCCUCUAUGUUCUUGUUUUACUUAGAUUACUGUUUUUCCAGGGGAAAGAGGAAUUCCUUGGAGUCAGUUGUUUUUUUUUCAUUAGUUGUUUGUAUGCAGGAGUGGGUACAACUGUAGACAAUGAUUUUAUUUUUGUUAUAGAGCUUUAUAAUGUAUGUGGGCUAUCCAUUUAUACGUAUAUACACAAACAUGUAUGCAUACAUAUGCUGUCUUUUUAUGUUCACUUUUUACUAUACAUGAUUACACAUUUUUGCGUAUAAAAUAUUAUUUCCACUUGAUCAGUGAGAUAUUAAUAAAAUCUGAAACAGGAAAUGAGUGUAUGUAUAA
rnacentral:lncRNA from 1 species